rnacentral:tRNA from 1 species
GCCUGGGUGGCUCAGUCAGUUGAGCGUCCAACUUCGGCUCGGGUCAUCAUCUCACGGUUCGUGGGUUUGAGCCCCACCUUGGGCU